rnacentral:rRNA from 1 species
CCUACGGGAGGCUGCAGUGAGGAAUAUUGGUCAAUGGGCGCGAGCCUGAACCAGCCAAGUCGCGUGAGGGAAGACGGUCCUAUGGAUUGUAAACCUCUUUUGUCGGGGAGCAAAAGACGCCACGCGUGGCCUUCCGAGAGUACCCGAAGAAAAAGCAUCGGCUAACUCCGUGCCAACAGCCGCGGUAAUACGGAGGAUGCGAGCGUUAUCCGGAUUUAUUGGGUUUAAAGGGUGCGCAGGCGGACGAUCAAGUCAGCGGUAAAAUUGAGAGGCUCAACCUCUUCGAGCCGUUGAAACUGGUUGUCUUGAGUGGGCGAGAAGUAUGCGGAAUGCGCGGUGUAGCGGUGAAAUGCAUAGAUAUCACGCAGAACUCCGAUUGCGAAGGCAGCAUGCCGGCGCUCAACUGACGCUGAGGCACGAAAGUGUGGGUAUCGAACAGGAUUAGAUACCCGAGUAGUC